AAAAAUAUCGCUCCCAAGUCGCAACCGACGUACUGCUAGGUGGCCAGGCCACCCAAUAGUUGGUUUGUUCGGUUCAGCUAUGUUGACUUCGCAUGCCCUUGAGCGAGCCACCCUCCCAAUAUCUAUCUUCUCCCGGUAGGGUUCGUCCGCCUAGCGGUCGCCGCCCACCGAGCUCCGGCUGCCGCCGCGCAUCUCCCCGGCUACACCACCUUGCGCGAUGUUUCCUUCGUCCAGAUCCGUGAGGCACCACGAGAUUGCUCGCGGCCCUCCUCCUCACACGGGCCUUCCCAACCCACCACCGGUGUCUCCAUCCACCGCUUCAUCAUCCACCCAGGCCGGUUUUCUAUUUCACUAAUGUCGAGUUGGGCAGGUCAGGCGGAUGGAUUGUGGGAGCUUCAUGUCUUGAAGGAGAGGACCGUGCGGGAGCUGCGGGAGGCCGCCAAGGCCCUCACCGUGCGCCGCGCCGCCGACAGGACGCACCAUGGUGGCACUGGACAGGGACGUCCGCCACUUGCAGGCCCGACCACCUUCCUCAAGCCCACCAUGGCCUGCUACUUAUUUGGUCGGACAAGCUAUGGAUUUCUGUGUUGCGAUUUGUGAGUCAAUCUUCAAGUGCCAUCACAACACCUGUAGUUGAUAUUCGUGCCGGGAUUUAGCCUGUUAAGACGUUCGCUCUGGACCUUGAUUUUUUUCAUGCUCUUCUAAUGAGUAAAAUUCAAGAAUGGUGGAUAUAGCAAGUCUGGAAAGGGCCAUCUGAAGCUUCUACCAAUCCACUAAAGAGAAGAUUUCUCAUGUUCGCCUUUUUCUGCCGGUCUCUUGAAGCCGAAGCUGAUUACUGUCUCAAGCAAGGUGGCAUUCGUGAAUCCAAAGGCUACAAUCUACCAACGUUUGGCGCAAGGGGCCAGGGGUCUAGAAACGAAGUAAUUAAACUGACUACCAAUCUGCAGUUGAACGCGACUGAAUUAGCAUGUGCCAUUUCUCAAAACAAACUGUGAAAAUAUCUUUGUGAUAAGAACCUACAUUGUUAAAAAGAAAAUGGGUUAUGCUCAUGGCAGAUAAAUGUCUUCACAAUUCUCAGAAUGUAACUGAAUUAGUACCAUUGUAGAUGACUAUCACUUGGACAAGCGGAUAUGACAUCAGUUGAGGAUUUGUUUUGUUUGCUUCA